rnacentral:rRNA from 1 species
UACGUAGGGUGCAAGCGUUUAAUCGGAAUUACUGGGCGUAAAGCGUGCGCAGGCGGUUAUGUAAGACAGUUGUGAAAUCCCCGGGCUCAACCUGGGAACUGCAUCUGUGACUGCAUAGCUAGAGUACGGUAGAGGGGGGAUGGAAUUCCGCGUGUAGCAGUGAAAUGCGUAGAGAUGUGGAGGAACACCCGAUGGCGAAGGCAGCCCCCUGGGCUGAGAUUGACGCUCAGGCACGAAAGCCGUGGGGAGCAAACAGG